rnacentral:rRNA from 1 species
ACACAGCCACACAAGGACCAUCUCCUCAGUAGUACUACCAGAGCCUCCCAGCUAGCAAUGGCAAAGUGCCUCGCUGUCGCGCUACUGCUACUGGUGGUGCUCGCGUACUGCAACGGGAGGGAGUUGAACCAGAAGGACGGCGCACUUGCAGCGACACGCGGUGCCGGUGCCGGUGCUGGCGUCGGGGAGUCGAAGAUUUUGGGGUUGCCAGACUUGCCGGUUGUGGGAACCACUACCGGUACCAGUACCAUUAACGGCCCGCUGGUGGUGAUUCCGGGGAUCCCUGCUCACCCGUGAUCAUCUCUAGUUCAUGUGCUGGCUUACAUACAUACAAGCUGAAGCUGAAGCUGAACUUAAUUGUGGUUUUAGAUUUGUGUAGCUAGCACCACCCGGAAGAAAAACACUGGCUUUUCGCCCAUGUCCAU